AUGGGGAGGGCGCCGUGCUGCGAGAAGGUGGGGCUGAAGCGGGGGAGGUGGACGGCGGAGGAGGACGACAUACUCGCAAACUACAUUGCCAAGCACGGCGAGGGCUCAUGGAGGUCUCUGCCCAAGAAUGCAGGGCUACUGAGGUGUGGCAAGAGCUGCAGGCUGCGGUGGAUCAACUACCUCAGAGACGGGGUGAGGAGAGGCAACAUCUCCAAGGAGGAGGACGACCUCAUCGUCAAACUUCAUGCCACCCUUGGCAACAGAUGGUCCCUGAUCGCCAGCCACCUACCAGGACGAACAGACAACGAGAUCAAGAACUACUGGAACUCGCAUCUCAGCCGGCAGAUCCACACCUUUCGAAGGAUCUACACCACCGUCAGCGACACCGCCAUAACCGUCGACAUCAACAAGCUUUCCGCCGCCGGCAAGCGGCGCGGCGGCCGCACCCCUGGCCAGUCGCCAAGGAGCAGCACAAAGAAGAAGCCGGUGCCGGAGCCCAUCACCAAGGCGAAGGACGAAUCUAGCCCGGCCGGCGCUGCGUCAUCGGUGUCAAGCUCACCUCAGAGCGACGAGGCUAGAAGCGCGGUGGUCGACCCGGACCAGAACCAGCCCAACAACAGCAUCAGUGUCAGCCACACUUCUGAUGGGCCCUGCAGCGAGGAUGGGACGUGGCCCAUGGUCAUGGACCCUGUAGAUCAGACUGGCGUCCUCGAGGCGAACUGCACGGUGGAUCAGCAGAUGGGGCUCUGGGAAGUGAACAGCUCAAUGAAUCAGAUUGGGAUCAUGGAGGACGAGAGCGAGAUGCAGGCACUCCUGUCCAGCAGCGUUACAGCAGAGAAUGGGCUUGUUGGCAUCGAUCCCGGAGGCCUGUCUCAGGUGGACCAUCUCUUGGACAUGGACUGGGAGGGGUUUGCAUCCCAUCUAUGGGACCAGCCAGCCCAGAAUGGCCUUCUACAGCCCGCUGAGCCGCAGGCGGCGACGGGCUCCGAGUCGGACGAGCUAGAGUCGUUCGUCAGUUGGCUCCUCUCCGACGCGUGCUGA
rnacentral:rRNA from 1 species